rnacentral:rRNA from 1 species
GACGAACGCUGGCGGCGUGCUUAACACAUGCAAGUCGAGCGAGAAACUUCGGUUUCUAGCGGCGGACGGGUGAGUAACACGUGGGCAACCUGCCUCACAAUGGGGGAUAGCCUUCCGAAAGGAAGAUUAAUACCGCAUAACACAAAGGGAACGCAUGUUUCUUUUGCCAAAGAAUUUCGUUGUGAGAUGGGCCCGCGGCGCAUUAGCUUGUUGGUGAGGUAACGGCUCACCAAGGCGACGAUGCGUAGCCGACCUGAGAGGGUGAUCGGCCACAUUGGAACUGAGACACGGUCCAGACUACUACGGGAGGCAGCAGUGGGGAAUAUUGCACAAUGGAGGAAACUCUGAUGCAGCAACGCCGCGUGAGUGAUGAAGGUCUUCGGAUUGUAAAGCUCUGUCUUCUGGGACGAUAAUGACGGUACCAGAGGAGGAAGCCACGGCUAACUACGUGCCAGCCGCCGCCGUAA